rnacentral:rRNA from 1 species
UACGAAGGGGGCUAGCGUUGCUCGGAAUUACUGGGCGUAAAGCGCACGUAGGCGGCUCUUUAAGUCGGGGGUGAAAUCCUGGAGCUCAACUCCAGAACUGCCUUCGAUACUGAAGAGCUCGAGUCCGGGAGAGGUGAGUGGAACUGCGAGUGUAGAGGUGAAAUUCGUAGAUAUUCGGAAGAACACCAGUGGCGAAGGCGGCUCACUGGCCCGGUACUGACGCUGAGGUGCGAAAGCGUGGGGAGCAAACAGG